GAUGAACGCUGGCGGCGUGCCUAACACAUGCAAGUCGAGCGAUUCUCUUCGGAGAAGAGCGGCGGACGGGUGAGUAACGCGUGGGUAACCUGCCCUGUACACACGGAUAACAUACCGAAAGGUAUGCUAAUACGAGAUAAUAUGCUUUUAUCGCAUGGUAGAAGUAUCAAAGCUCCGGCGGUACAGGAUGGACCCGCGUCUGAUUAGCUAGUUGGUGAGGUAACGGCUCACCAAGGCGACGAUCAGUAGCCGACCUGAGAGGGUGAUCGGCCACAUUGGAACUGAGACACGGUCCAAACUCCUACGGGAGGCAGCAGUGGGGAAUAUUGCACAAUGGGCGAAAGCCUGAUGCAGCAACGCCGCGUGAGCGAUGAAGGCCUUCGGGUCGUAAAGCUCUGUCCUCAAGGAAGAUAAUGACGGUACUUGAGGAGGAAGCCCCGGCUAACUACGUGCCAGCAGCCGCGGUAAUACAUAGGGGGCUAGCGUUAUCCGGAAUUACUGGGCGUAAAGGGUGCGUAGGUGGUUUCUUAAGUCAGAGGUGAAAGGCUACGGCUCAACCGUAGUAAGCCUUUGAAACUGGGAAACUUGAGUGCAGGAGAGGAGAGUGGAAUUCCUAGU
rnacentral:rRNA from 1 species